rnacentral:rRNA from 1 species
GAGGGUGAACGGCCACAUUGGGACUGAGGCACGGCCCAGACUCCUCUUACGGGAGGCAGCAGUGGGGAAUAUUGCACAAAGGGGGAAACCCUGAUGCAGCGACGCCGCGUGAGCGAAGAAGUAUUUCGGUAUGUAAAGCUCUAUCAGCAGGGAAGAAAAUGACGGUACCUGACUAAGAAGCCCCGGCUAACUACGUGCCAGCAG